rnacentral:rRNA from 1 species
AGCGAACGCUGGCGGCAGGCUUAACACAUGCAAGUCGAGCGGGCACUCUCGGGUGUCAGCGGCGGCCGGGUGAGCAACGCGUGGGAACGUGCGCUCUUGUUCGGACUAACACUGGGAGAUUUGAGCUAAUACCGGAUACGCACUCUUGGGGAGAGGCUGGCGGCCGGGGGGUCGGUGCGCGUCUGUUUACGUGGUGGGUGGGGUACCAGCCUACCAAGGCGACGAUCAGUAGCUGGGCUGAGAGGAUGAUCAGCCAGGCUGGGACUGAGGCACGGCCCAGACUCGGAGGGAAGGCAGCGGUAGGUAGUAUUAGACGAGGGGGGCAAGUCUAAUCCAGCCAUGCCGCGGGAGUGAGGAAGGCCUUAGGGUUGUGAAGCUCUUUGAGCCGGGACGAUAAUGACGGUACCGGGGGAAGAAGCCCCGGCUAACUACGUG